GAUGAACGCUGGCGGCGUGCCUAAUACAUGCAAGUCGAGCGAACGGACGAGAAGCUUGCUUCUCUGAUGUUAGCGGCGGACGGGUGAGUAACACGUGGAUAACCUACCUAUAAGACUGGGAUAACUUCGGGAAACCGGAGCUAAUACCGGAUAAUAUUUUGAACCGCAUGGUUCAAAAGUGAAAGACGGUCUUGCUGUCACUUAUAGAUGGAUCCGCGCUGCAUUAGCUAGUUGGUAAGGUAACGGCUUACCAAGGCAACGAUGCAUAGCCGACCUGAGAGGGUGAUCGGCCACACUGGAACUGAGACACGGUCCAGACUCCUACGGGAGGCAGCAGUAGGGAAUCUUCCGCAAUGGGCGAAAGCCUGACGGAGCAACGCCGCGUGAGUGAUGAAGGUCUUCGGAUCGUAAAACUCUGUUAUUAGGGAAGAACAUAUGUGUAAGUAACUGUGCACAUCUUGACGGUACCUAAUCAGAAAGCCACGGCUAACUACGUGCCAGCAGCCGCGGUAAUACGUAGGUGGCAAGCGUUAUCCGGAAUUAUUGGGCGUAAAGCGCGCGUAGGCGGUUUUUUAAGUCUGAUGUGAAAGCCCACGGCUCAACCGUGGAGGGUCAUUGGAAACUGGAAAACUUGAGUGCAGAAGAGGAAAGUGGAAUUCCAUGUGUAGCGGUGAAAUGCGCAGAGAUAUGGAGGAACACCAGUGGCGAAGGCGACUUUCUGGUCUGUAACUGACGCUGAUGUGCGAAAGCGUGGGGAUCAAACAGGAUUAGAUACCCUGGUAGUCCACGCCGUAAACGAUGAGUGCUAAGUGUUAGGGGGUUUCCGCCCCUUAGUGCUGCAGCUAACGCAUUAAGCACUCCGCCUGGGGAGUACGACCGCAAGGUUGAAACUCAAAGGAAUUGACGGGGAUCCGCACAAGCGGUGGAGCAUGUGGUUUAAUUCGAAGCAACGCGAAGAACCUUACCAAAUCUUGACAUCCUUUGACAACUCUAGAGAUAGAGCCUUCCCCUUCGGGGGACAAAGUGACAGGUGGUGCAUGGUUGUCGUCAGCUCGUGUCGUGAGAUGUUGGGUUAAGUCCCGCAACGAGCGCAACCCUUAAGCUUAGUUGCCAUCAUUAAGUUGGGCACUCUAAGUUGACUGCCGGUGACAAACCGGAGGAAGGUGGGGAUGACGUCAAAUCAUCAUGCCCCUUAUGAUUUGGGCUACACACGUGCUACAAUGGACAAUACAAAGGGCAGCGAAACCGCGAGGUCAAGCAAAUCCCAUAAAGUUGUUCUCAGUUCGGAUUGUAGUCUGCAACUCGACUACAUGAAGCUGGAAUCGCUAGUAAUCGUAGAUCAGCAUGCUACGGUGAAUACGUUCCCGGGUCU
rnacentral:rRNA from 1 species